rnacentral:rRNA from 1 species
GCUCAGUAACACGUGGAGAACGUGCCCUUAGGCGGAGGAUAAUCUCGGGAAAUUGAGGAUAAUACUCCAUAGGUCACGGGGUCUGGAACGACCCGUGGCCGAAAGCCCCGGCGCCUAAGGAUCGCUCUGCGGCUUAUCAGGUCGUAGUGGGUGUAACGUACCCCCUAGCCGACGACGGGUAUGGGCCUUGAGAGAGGGAGCCCAGAGUUGGAUUCUGAGACACGAAUCCAGGCCCUACGGGGCGCAGCAGUCGCGAAAACUUCACACUGGGGGGAACCCCGAUGAGGGAAUUCCUAGUGCUUGGGCAUUUGUCCAAGCUUUUCCCGAGCGUAGAUAACUCGGGGAAUAAGGGCUGGGUAAGACGGGUGCCAGCCGCCGCGGUAAUACCUGCAGCCCGAGUGGUGGUCGAUUUUAUUGAGUCUAAAGCGUUCGUAGCCGGUCCGUUAAAUCCUUGGGUAAAUCGGGAAGCUCAACUUUCCGACUUCCGAGGAGACUGGCGGACUUGGGACCGGGAGAGGCCAGAGGUACUUCUGGGGUAGGGGUAAAAUCCUGUAAUCCUAGAAGGACCACCGGUGGCGAAGGCGUCUGGCUAGAACGGAUCCGACGGUGAGGGACGAAGCCCUGGGUCGCAAACGGGAUUAGAUACCCCGGUAGUCCAGGGUGUAGACGCUGCCGACUUGGUGUUGGGGGCCCUUCGGGGGAACUCAGUGCCGGAGAGAAGUUGUUAAGUCGGCCACUUGGGGAGUACGUCCGCAAGGAUGAAACUUAAAGGAAUUGGCGGGGGAGCAC